GUGGAAUUCCUGGACCUAUCUACAACAUGAAGUCUAGUCCAGCUGACCCCAAAAGAUCCAGCUUGGCAAGUAAGAUGAGACAAGUUACUGAACAUCGCGACCGAAAUACUGAAAAAUUGCUAGCUACCCUGGUAUCAAGUAAGCCCAGAAAUCAAGAAGACAACGUUCUGGCUGCGUUUUCUGUGAGGAAGAGAGAGUAAAAGUUCAUUACAAUACGAGGUAAUACCAAUUUAACUCACAAUUUUUCGAAGUUUGUAAAAUUUAAAGAAGAUAUGAUCUGCUUUUAUAGAAUUUGAAAUCCAAACAGUUGAUUCUUAGGCAACAUUUAAUUACUAGUGCAAAUGUGGGAGAACAUUAGUGAAGAAAAUAAUAAAACUAAAUAGUAAUGCAGAA
rnacentral:lncRNA from 1 species